CCUGCAAGGUAUCUCCACUUUUGGUAUAAGAGCUAUGCUAGUUGAGUUUAUAUGAGUAAGUAGUUGCCCAUUGUCAAGGAAUUCCAGCAUUGCAUUUCUCAGCUCCUUACCACCAAUUGACCAUGAUGCUUUAUAAAAUUUACUCCUGUAGCUAUCUAGUCCUGGGCUCUUUAUUUCAUUUAUAUUGAACAUAGCAGCCUUUACUUCUGCAGUUGUAUAUGGCCUUACCAACGCAUUUGUUGAGUAAUUGACAGUGUCUUUCCAUUCUUCAUAAAAAUUUGAAAGGCAUGUGUCACGAACCUACCCUUUGUUCCUAACAGCUCUAGAUAAUAGUCCACAAAUAUCU
rnacentral:lncRNA from 1 species